ensembl:lncRNA
UCCAUGUACACUGUGAUGUUAAGUUUCUAUUUCACGUACAUUUAAACAGUUUAAGGAAAACAGCAGGGUCAUUAGUCACAUAUGGGGGACUGCAGAUGUGACAAAAACACUGCCAGUGACACACAAAUGACUGAAACGCAAUGACCGCUCCAACAGCUCCAGCCGGGAAGGGACCAUUGGUAAACGAGAUUUCAACCCUUAUCUGCUGAAAACUGAAAGCACAGGACGAACAGUGACGCCCUGGUGAGCAGCAGGGAGGAGCUGCCUCAGAGGGAGGCGCUGUCCAACCCGAGAGCUCCCAGAGGUGCCUGUCAGCCCAGCCAGCACCAGGUCCCCCUCUAGACACCAGAAACUGAGCCAGACAAAGUCCCUGCCAUCGAGGACCUUAGAUGCUAGUUCUGGAGAUACACAAGUAAACAAGGAAGAAAUUUAAGGCCCUGAUACAAGCUCUAAAAACCAGAGUAAGUCGAUGUGCAUGGAAGUGUGUGAGUGAUGGUCUCUUCUCUGGGCUGGGAUGUGACUGACCAGAAGCGUGCCAUGAUAAGAUCAGGGAAAGAAGGCAAGAGCAAAUACAAGGACCCUAAGAUGAGGACAGCUCACCAGGUUCAAAGGUCUCAAGUUCCUCAAGCUCAGCCCUCUGGAGAAGGCUCCCCAGGAACACAAACUGCAGGUCACACUAAGAUGGACUGCGUUCCCCUAGCUGCCCAGACCCCUUCAUGACGCUGUCUAUUUGUGCGUUUUCCCUUCUGCCUGGUGUUCCCUCUGUACUCCUCUCUGCCACCCUCUGCUCAGUUCACCUGGGAGCCUCCUGCUGGGCAGCAGGAUGAGCUCACCAUCACCUCCGUGACCCCUCCCAGGAUUCCCUGAAGGCCUGCUGCUCCUUCUUCUGCUUCCAUGACACCGUGAUUCCAUCUCUACGACAGGGGCUGCACAAACUCUGGCCUCUGGGCCACACAGGACCCACCUUGGCUUUCAGAAAUAAAGUUUCACUAUACAGAGCCAAGCCCAUUUGUGUACACAGCGCCCAUCACAUCACAUCACUGCACUGGGACUGAACGGCUCCCACAGAGAUGCGUGGCCAAGCCUAAAAUAAUGACCACCUGGCCCCUUCUAGAAAGUCUGCUGACCCCUUCUGUAAUUCUUCCCACAGACUACAAGCUCCCUGAGAGAAAACACUGUCUCUCUCUUCACUGUAAGCCACGGCCCCCUACUCCCGCCUUGGCAGAGCACACUGCCGGCACUGAGCAGACACUCAAAAUUCCAGCCGGCCGACUGGUGAAGGAACACCAAGGGGUGCAUGAACACGUGUACGUCUGCACACUAUGCUCCGGCUGCUGGCUCCAUACUAACUCAUGUACUACCAACACUGGGGACAUAAGCUGGAGCUGUAGUUCCCACACCGUGCACUCAGGUGCCCCAAGAACUGGGGUAUGACGUUAUAGUUUAAAUUUUCGGAGGUAACAAAGUGACAUCUAUCCAACACUGUGAGGACCUUCAGUUCAGUGUAGUUCGGUCUGAACACUUGGUCAUGCCACAGUCCUCUCAAUGGCAUCCUAUCUUUGUAGAGCCGGAGGGAAGGCUUGUUGGAUGCUGUGAUGAAGCUUAAGCACCACCC